CGGCGAGUGGCGUAGCUCGGUAGCGCGACUGGUUUGGGACCAGUAAGUCAGAGGUUCAAAUCCUCUCUCGCCGA
rnacentral:tRNA from 1 species